GAUGAACGCUGGCGGCGUGCUUAACACAUGCAAGUCGAACGGAAAGGCCAUGCUCUUGUGGGGUGCUCGAGUGGCGAACGGGUGAGUAACACGUGAGUAACAUGUCCUUGACUUUGGGAUAACUUCAGGAAAAUGGGGAUAAUAUCGGAUAGGAGCUCCUGCAGCACGGUGGGGGUCGGAAAGUUUCGGCGGUUGGGGAUGGAAUCGCGGCUUAUCAGCUUGUUGGUGGGGUAGUGGAUUACAAAGGCUUCGAAGGAUAGCCCGCCUUAGAGCGUGGCCGGCCUCAUGGGGACUGCGGGACGGCCCAGUCGGCUACGUUAGGCAGCAGUCGGGAGCAUGACGGAGUGGCCGGAAGCCAGUUGCAGCAACCCCGCGUUCGUAAUAACGUCCUACGAGGGAUAAACCGCUUUCUCCUUUAACGAAGCGGUAUUGACGGUAAUUAGUAAGAAAGCACCGGCUAACUACGUG
rnacentral:rRNA from 1 species